rnacentral:rRNA from 1 species
CGGGUGAGUAACGCGUAGAUAAUCUACCUCAUGUUGGAUAACCCUUCGAAAGGGGGACUAAUACCGGAUAUAUUCAUACCUGUCGGGUAUGGAGGAAAGGUGGCCUCUAUUUAUAAGCUAUCGCACGGGGAGGAGUCUGGCGUACCAUUAGCUAGUUGGUGGGGUAAGUGGCCUACCAAGGCAACGAUGGUUAGCGGGUCUGAGAGGAUGAUCCGUCACACUGGCACUGAAAUACGGGCCAG